rnacentral:rRNA from 1 species
AGCAGCAGCCGCGGUAAUACGGAGGGUGCAAGCGUUAAUCGGAAUUACUGGGCGUAAAGCGCACGCAGGCGGUCUGACAAGUCAGAUGUGAAAUCCCCGGGCUUAACCUGGGAACUGCAUUUGAAACUGUCAGGCUGGAGUCUUGUAGAGGGGGGUGGAAUUCCAGGUGUAGCGGUGAAAUGCGUAGAGAUCUGGAGGAAUACCGGUGGCGAAGGCGGCCCCCUGGACAAAGACUGACGCUCAGGUGCGAAAGCGUGGGGAGCAAACAGGAUUAGAUACCCCCUGUAGUCCCUGUCUCUUAUU